GGGUUGUGAGGUUAAGCGACUAAGCGUACACGGUGGAUGCCCUGGCAGUCAGAGGCGAUGAAGGACGUGCUAAUCUGCGAUAAGCGUCGGUAAGGUGAUAUGAACCGUUAUAACCGGCGAUUUCCGAAUGGGGAAACCCAGUGUGAUUCGUCACACUAUCAUUAACUGAAUCCAUAGGUUAAUGAGGCGAACCGGGGGAACUGAAACAUCUAAGUACCCCGAGGAAAAGAAAUCAACCGAGAUUCCCCCAGUAGCGGCGAGCGAACGGGGAGGAGCCCAGAGCCUGAAUCAGUGUGUGUGUUAGUGGAAGCGUCUGGAAAGGCGCGCGAUACAGGGUGACAGCCCCGUACACAAAAAUGCACAUGCUGUGAGCUCGAUGAGUAGGGCGGGACACGUGGUAUCCUGUCUGAAUAUGGGGGGACCAUCCUCCAAGGCUAAAUACUCCUGACUGACCGAUAGUGAACCAGUACCGUGAGGGAAAGGCGAAAAGAACCCCGGCGAGGGGAGUGAAAAAGAACCUGAAACCGUGUACGUACAAGCAGUGGGAGCCUCUUUAUGGGGUGACUGCGUACCUUUUGUAUAAUGGGUCAGCGACUUAUAUUCUGUAGCAAGGUUAACCGAAUAGGGGAGCCGAAGGGAAACCGAGUCUUAACUGGGCGUUAAGUUGCAGGGUAUAGACCCGAAACCCGGUGAUCUAGCCAUGGGCAGGUUGAAGGUUGGGUAACACUAACUGGAGGACCGAACCGACUAAUGUUGAAAAAUUAGCGGAUGACUUGUGGCUGGGGGUGAAAGGCCAAUCAAACCGGGAGAUAGCUGGUUCUCCCCGAAAGCUAUUUAGGUAGCGCCUCGUGAAUUCAUCUCCGGGGGUAGAGCACUGUUUCGGCAAGGGGGUCAUCCCGACUUACCAACCCGAUGCAAACUGCGAAUACCGGAGAAUGUUAUCACGGGAGACACACGGCGGGUGCUAACGUCCGUCGUGAAGAGGGAAACAACCCAGACCGCCAGCUAAGGUCCCAAAGUCAUGGUUAAGUGGGAAACGAUGUGGGAAGGCCCAGACAGCCAGGAUGUUGGCUUAGAAGCAGCCAUCAUUUAAAGAAAGCGUAAUAGCUCACUGGUCGAGUCGGCCUGCGCGGAAGAUGUAACGGGGCUAAACCAUGCACCGAAGCUGCGGCAGCGACGCUUAUGCGUUGUUGGGUAGGGGAGCGUUCUGUAAGCCUGCGAAGGUGUGGCUGUGAGGAUGCUGGAGGUAUCAGAAGUGCGAAUGCUGACAUAAGUAACGAUAAAGCGGGUGAAAAGCCCGCUCGCCGGAAGACCAAGGGUUCCUGUCCAACGUUAAUCGGGGCAGGGUGAGUCGACCCCUAAGGCGAGGCCGAAAGGCGUAGUCGAUGGGAAACAGGUUAAUAUUCCUGUACUUGGUGUUACUGCGAAGGGGGGACGGAGAAGGCUAUGUUGGCCGGGCGACGGUUGUCCCGGUUUAAGCGUGUAGGCUGGUUUUCCAGGCAAAUCCGGAAAAUCAAGGCUGAGGCGUGAUGACGAGGCACUACGGUGCUGAAGCAACAAAUGCCCUGCUUCCAGGAAAAGCCUCUAAGCAUCAGGUAACAUCAAAUCGUACCCCAAACCGACACAGGUGGUCAGGUAGAGAAUACCAAGGCGCUUGAGAGAACUCGGGUGAAGGAACUAGGCAAAAUGGUGCCGUAACUUCGGGAGAAGGCACGCUGAUAUGUAGGUGAAGCGACUUGCUCGUGGAGCUGAAAUCAGUCGAAGAUACCAGCUGGCUGCAACUGUUUAUUAAAAACACAGCACUGUGCAAACACGAAAGUGGACGUAUACGGUGUGACGCCUGCCCGGUGCCGGAAGGUUAAUUGAUGGGGUUAGCGGUAACGCGAAGCUCUUGAUCGAAGCCCCGGUAAACGGCGGCCGUAACUAUAACGGUCCUAAGGUAGCGAAAUUCCUUGUCGGGUAAGUUCCGACCUGCACGAAUGGCGUAAUGAUGGCCAGGCUGUCUCCACCCGAGACUCAGUGAAAUUGAACUCGCUGUGAAGAUGCAGUGUACCCGCGGCAAGACGGAAAGACCCCGUGAACCUUUACUAUAGCUUGACACUGAACAUUGAGCCUUGAUGUGUAGGAUAGGUGGGAGGCUUUGAAGUGUGGACGCCAGUCUGCAUGGAGCCGACCUUGAAAUACCACCCUUUAAUGUUUGAUGUUCUAACGUUGGCCCCUAAUCGGGGUUGCGGACAGUGUCUGGUGGGUAGUUUGACUGGGGCGGUCUCCUCCUAAAGAGUAACGGAGGAGCACGAAGGUUGGCUAAUCCUGGUCGGACAUCAGGAGGUUAGUGCAAUGGCAUAAGCCAGCUUGACUGCGAGCGUGACGGCGCGAGCAGGUGCGAAAGCAGGUCAUAGUGAUCCGGUGGUUCUGAAUGGAAGGGCCAUCGCUCAACGGAUAAAAGGUACUCCGGGGAUAACAGGCUGAUACCGCCCAAGAGUUCAUAUCGACGGCGGUGUUUGGCACCUCGAUGUCGGCUCAUCACAUCCUGGGGCUGAAGUAGGUCCCAAGGGUAUGGCUGUUCGCCAUUUAAAGUGGUACGCGAGCUGGGUUUAGAACGUCGUGAGACAGUUCGGUCCCUAUCUGCCGUGGGCGCUGGAGAACUGAGGGGGGCUGCUCCUAGUACGAGAGGACCGGAGUGGACGCAUCACUGGUGUUCGGGUUGUCAUGCCAAUGGCACUGCCCGGUAGCUAAAUGCGGAAGAGAUAAGUGCUGAAAGCAUCUAAGCACGAAACUUGCCCCGAGAUGAGUUCUCCCUGACUCCUUGAGAGUCCUGAAGGAACGUUGAAGACGACGACGUUGAUAGGCCGGGUGUGUAAGCGCAGCGAUGCGUUGAGCUAACCGGUACUAAUGAACCGUGAGGCUUAACCUUACAACGCCGAAG
rnacentral:rRNA from 1 species